GUGACCACUGACGUCAUCAGGGUUUGGAUUGAGAAUUUUCUGAUCAACGGCCAUCUUGUUUUGUGGAAGACCUCGGCUGAUAAACAAUAAAACUGUGACAGCAGCCUAAAUAAACCUGCUGUGGUGGUAUCAAGCGGCAACCUCCCGCUCCCUCUCGUGAAGCCAACACGGAAGUGACUAAAGCUGCAAUUCAUCGACUGGCCGCUGGAGGCUGGUUGCAAAAGGAAAGAGAUUUUUGUGACAACUUUGCACAACAGUUUGGAGAUGUCAUCACAUCACAAAAACCCAUGCCUGCUGGAUUAAUAUGCAUUUGAGGAGAUAAGAAAGGUGAUUCCAAAGCAAUACGUACAUAUAUGAGGAAAAACAGACAACUUGGAGAAGAUAUGUGAUGACUUUGCUUGGCAGAAAAGGAUGUUUUAAAGGGAUACUCUUCCCAAAAAUCUAAAUUAUUUGAUCUGAUUCAUUCUUAUACUGUACCAGAUGUAUAUGACUUUUUUCUUCAGAUAAACACUAUCUAAAGAUUUUUAAAAAAAAUAAUCCAUCUAUGUGAGACCAUAUAAUGCUAGAGGAAGGGACCCUUAAAGUAAAUGCUUGAGAUGUUGUGAAGAUGUCUUUAGUAGAUAUUUAUUCCUUCCCUUUGGCUUAUAUGAAUUACUGUCAUAAUUGCUGUGUUUUUUUGUUUUUUUUUAAAGCAUCAAAUAUGGACUCACAGAGAUUGAUUAUUUUUCUAAAAAUCGUUGUAUUUAUCAGAAGAAAGUAAUAUACAUGGAGGUUAGCAUGAGGGUGAUAAAUGAUAAGAGAGUUUAAUUUUUUUAGAAGGACUACCUCAUUAAAUUAAAUGGACUGUCAGCAAUUUAAAAACAAUAAAUAAGACAUUCUUUACACACACUGUAAAACCCAACAAGUUAGGGUAACUCAAACCGUUUGAGUAAACCGAUUGCCUUAAACAUUUAAGUUUUUAAAACUAACAAUUAUGAGUGCUCUGAACUUAUUUCAGUUGAGUUCAGUUAAGUGAUUAAUU